AGAGUUUGAUCCUGGCUCAGGACGAACGCUGGCGGCGUGCUUAACACAUGCAAGUCGAACGGAAAGGCCCCCACCUUGGUGGGGGUGCUCGAGUGGCGAACGGGUGAGUAACACGUGGGUGAUCUGCCCUGUACUUCGGGAUAAGCUUGGGAAACUGGGUCUAAUACCGGAUAGGACCAUGGUUUAGUGUCUCAUGGUGGAAAGAUUAUUGUUUUGGUGCAGGAUGAGCUCGCGGCCUAUCAGCUUGUUGGUGGGGUAAUGGCCUACCAAGGCGUCGACGGGUAGCCGGCCUGAGAGGGUGGACGGCCACAUUGGGACUGAGAUACGGCCCAGACUCCUACGGGAGGCAGCAGUGGGGAAUAUUGCACAAUGGGCGCAAGCCUGAUGCAGCGACGCCGCGUGGGGGAUGACGGCCUUCGGGUUGUAAACUCCUUUCGUUAGGGACGAAGCCACAUUUUUUUGGGUGUGGUGACGGUACCUUUGUUAAGAAGCACCGGCUAACUACGUGCCAGCAGCCGCGGUAAUACGUAGGGUGCGAGCGUUGUCCGGAAUUACUGGGCGUAAAGAGCUCGUAGGUGGUUUGUUGCGUCGUCUGUGAAAUUCCGGGGCUUAACUUCGGGGUGGCAGGCGAUACGGGCAUAACUAGAGUGCUGUAGGGGAGACUGGAAUUCCUGGUGUAGCGGUGGAAUGCGCAGAUAUCAGGAGGAACACCGAUGGCGAAGGCAGGUCUCUGGGCAGUAACUGACGCUGAGGAGCGAAAGCAUGGGGAGCGAACAGGAUUAGAUACCCUGGUAGUCCAUGCUGUAAACGGUGGGCGUUAGGUGUGGGGACCGGUUUGGUUUCUGUGCCGUAGCUAACGCAUUAAGCGCCCCGCCUGGGGAGUACGGCCGCAAGGCUAAAACUCAAAGGAAUUGACGGGGGCCCGCACAAGCGGCGGAGCAUGUGGAUUAAUUCGAUGCAACGCGAAGAACCUUACCUGGGUUUGACAUGCACCAGACGGUUGUAGAGAUACGUACCUCCCUUUGUGGUUGGUGUGCAGGUGGUGCAUGGUUGUCGUCAGCUCGUGUCGUGAGAUGUUGGGUUAAGUCCCGCAACGAGCGCAACCCUUGUCUUAUGUUGCCAGCACUUUGGGUGGGGACUCAUGAGAGACUGCCGGGGUUAACUCGGAGGAAGGUGGGGAUGACGUCAAAUCAUCAUGCCCUUUAUGCCCAGGGCUUCACACAUGCUACAAUGGUUAGUACAACGCGCUGCGAACCUGUGAGGGUGAGCGAAUCGCUGAAAGCUAAUCUCAGUUCGGAUUGGGGUCUGCAACUCGACCCCAUGAAGUCGGAGUCGCUAGUAAUCGCAGAUCAGCAAUGCUGCGGUGAAUACGUUCCCGGGCCUUGUACACACCGCCCGUCACGUCAUGAAAGUUGGUAACACCCGAAGCCCAUGGCCUAACCACCAUUUGGUGGGGGGAGUGGUCGAAGGUGGGAUUGGCGAUUGGGACGAAGUCGUAACAAGGUAGCCGUACCGGAAGGUGCGGCUGG
rnacentral:rRNA from 1 species